UGAAAAUGUCAUAUCUAUAUUAACUAGAAAUGGGGUUCAUAUAUUCUGAGAUAUUCUUUUUAUCGACAUUAGUGAGAAACUAAAACUCCAAGAAAGAACAUCCAGGAAUAACAACAUUAUGGCAGUACAAAUUCCAUCAUGUCGAACAUCAGUGAGGAAGGAAUCAUUCUACCACACAUUAAGAGGUGGAAUACCUUACCACCUCUACUGUGAUGGCUCCGAGCCUUCUCCGUCAAUGAGCUACUGGUUGUAUUUGUUUUUAAACUCGCCUGUAAAUAGACCUUCAGCAAUAUAUUUGUAUUAACAUGAGCACACCCAACAGCGGCAUAAUAGCCAUCAUUUUGACGGUGGCUGCUUACUGGUAGAAGUAACAAGGGUACCGACAACGGUACAUAAUACGCCCUUGGAAAGCUAGUAGGCUAUAGGGCGUUUUUCUUAUACCAUGAUUAGUAGAACUUGCCUUCAAGUAGUAUCAGCAAUCAUCAGGGUACAACAUACUUUCUUUGCAUCGAAAAAGCAAGACAAAUCAUGUACUCUAUGUAAUAUUUUUACUUCGCAUAAGAUCACUGUCAUGAUCGUGUGCAGGAUUGGACAAAACAAGAUGGCAGACGGCAUUUCCAAACAAAGAUCCAUUCAGGAGCGGACUUCCUUAAGCUUAAAAGUUGCAAGUGAAUGAAGUGUGUUCUAUUUUAUGUCUCCUAAUAAAACCAUGGUUUUGACAAACCUAAAAGAGCACGUGGAGCAAGGAACUAUCAGUAAGCCGGAAGAGCCAGCUCGAAAAUCUUUACGUGUUUGAGAAUUGCACCGCGCAAAUGAAUCUAAAGUUCUGCCACACGUUAGAAGGAGCCUUGUUCUCGAAGAUCAACAUGUUGAAAAGUCUUCAUUUUGCAGAAGCAAAUACAUUUAUAUUGUAUAUACACAUUUAGACCAUGUUCGAUUCCCAACCACUUAACAUUUGUGAUAUCUGCAUGGAAUUAUUAAAACUGAGCAUGGUUUGACGUAUAAUAAUCUCUUCAAGCAUGAUGGUUUACAUUUCACAAAGCUGUUCAAUGACAAUAAAGACAAUAAGAUGUU